rnacentral:lncRNA from 1 species
CACUCCAAAUUUUAUAUGUAUCUCUCAAUGAGAGGUGUAAGGGUCGCACAUUGUCUAGCUACAUAUUUUAAGGGUCGAACUACAAAAAGUUUGGGAACCACUGCUCUAUGCUACAUAAGUACAAUUUGAGAGAGAAACAGGCUUAAUCCUUUGUUGUUGAAGGAUAAAACAAGUAGAUUAGUAAAUCUAUUAUCAUAUUAGUGCAUUCCUUUUUAUGCAAGGUAAGCUACAACAUUUAUUCAAGUACUGACGUAAUAUAUUUGCAACUCUAUUGCGUAUUGCAUAAUUACACAUAAAUAUGAUGUAAGUGUUUGGAAUGUAAAUCUAAAAUAUUCAUAGCAUUUUAAAUAAAAAAUAAAUUACGCACCCAUGUUCAACUACAGGUAGUGUUGGUUUGCUGUUGGAGUAAUUGCUUCUUCCAUCAUAGUUGCACGGAGGGUAUGUUAUCAACUUUGCUAAUUUGUAAGCAGAAUUACGGAAAAAGUUACGGACACAUUUUGAUAAAAGUUUGUAAGAAGAUUAACUAUGUUAAUUGUAAGGUCCUAUUAAAUUUUGAAAGGUCAUGAACAAAGUUUAAGGUCAAUGAUUUGUAUUUUCGUAGCAUAGUUAAAGAAAAAGUUAAAAACGGAAUUGGGGGGAGACUUUGUCGGAAGGUUAACUAUGUUAACGGUGAGAGGCCAUUAAAUUUUAAGAGUUCAUGAACAAAGGUCAAGCUAACUGAUUUGUCUGUUUGUUAGCAGGAUUACGGAAAAGUCUCAUGGAUGGACAAACAGACAUACCAUCAGAUUUGCUAAAAGCAGUGAUUUCCACUUCGUUAUGAGCCAUUAUGUUUCAGAAGAAGAGGCUCUUGGAUGUGGUGAGACGAAUCAAAGAAAGAAUUCGGGGAGGGUGUUUUUAGGUCGGGUCGUAGGAAAUCACGAGGAAAUGAGGGACGCUUGUUCGUCCAUCCAUGAUUCUUUUCCAAUAUGAAUACUCCAUCAUGUCUACAUUCGAAUAAUAAUUGAUAACGGAUAAUUAAGUAAUUAGAUCUUUUUCGAAUCGAAUUUCUGUCGUGGUAGUUUAUUUUUCUUUUAUGUUAUAUUUAUUAACAUUCAUUAUUUUGUCUCUGGUUCGAACUUAUUAUUCAAUACAUAAAUGAGAUUAUAUUGUUUACAUUAAAUAAAAGAAGGCAAUUCUUCUGCCUGGCGAGCUUUGUUCAAGACGAAUUUUCCCAAGGCAAGCUUUCCUAGAUCCAUAAAACAUCUUCUACUGGUAUGACAAAAUAAAAGAAACUGAAAAUGAACGUGCUAUUCCUGACCAUUUGAAGAAUUUUUGGGAGGAAAGGAUUUUCCUAUGAUCACAACAGAACAUAAAUUCAUUCGAGCAUUCGUUAUUAACAUGAUCACCAACAAUUAUAUUUCUUCUUUUUUAUCAAAUUUCAAUGAGAUGAAUCCAUUCUCCAACAUUGUGAGUUUUUAUAAUUCUAGUUCGAGUUUAGUUUAGUUUUUCAAAAUAUAUUUUUUGUAGUAA